rnacentral:rRNA from 1 species
UACGGAGGGUGCAAGCGUUGUUCGGAUUUACUGGGCUUAAAGGGUGCGUAGGUGGGUUGGUAAGUCAGCGGUGAAAUACUUUCGCUUAACGAAGGAACUGCCAUUGAUACUAUCAAUCUUGAAUACAGUGGAGGUAGGCGGAAUGCGUCAUGUAGCGGUGAAAUGCUUAGAUAUGACGCAGAACACCAAUUGCGAAGGCAGCUUGCUACACUGUUAUUGACACUGAGGCACGAAAGCGUGGGUAGCAAACAGG